rnacentral:lncRNA from 1 species
CUGUGGCUGAAUCAGUUUAUUAUUGCAGUUUGUAGGGAUUUUAGGGGAAAAAAAGGCAAAAAAGAGCAAAGUUUCUACUCAGUCCUUUCAAAUGUGGCUCAGUUGAGAAAAGAAGGGUGAGAAUGAUGUUCGGUACCUCCUCCCCUGCUUAUAUGGCUAAAAAGAGUCUCUAGGUGGGAUCUGUCAAUGAAUGGGUGGGAGGAAACAGGCUCAACCCACCUCUCCCUCCCUCUGGAAUGGUCCCCUCCAGCAUUCCCAGCCAACGCUUCCUUGUCAUUCCCAUGCUCAAGGAUGGAAGCAGCAGCAGCACGAUGUGACUGGCAUGUUUGCCAUCCACAUGCCACUCUGGCUCGUUGGUGGCUUUUUGUCUCUAAUCCCAACAGUGGGAUUGACAGAGGGGAAAACUAUGCAAAAUGACAAAUAGAAGAGAAUCCAAAGAGGGCAGAAUUCCAGGUGGGAGAAGGGGGGAGAGAUUCCCAUCCUUUCCAUCUGUGCAGCAUCUCAAGUCAGAGGCUCCUAAUGUGGGAAUGAUGUGAACAUCUAAUCAUGUGCAGAAGCCUCUAGGCUGGCUCUGGUGCAUCCCUGGGUCUCCUGGGUUGAAGUGUUCCCAGUUUGCUCCUCAGACCCAGUUGGCUCCUGGCAUCUGCCUGGGGAAGAAUUCCACCAUUCCAGGUGAAUUUGGGGUUGAAUGAGAACAGUGUAAAAAUUGCCUGUGGGGAAAAAUCAGGCUUCUGGAAGGGGGCAGUUGGGAAGAGAAAAUGUUUUCUCAGGACUCGGAGGGAGUUUUAAGGAAAAAUGCACAUUUUAUAGGAUACAAAAAUAUUCCCAAGUGAAAAAUAGACGUUUUCUACUCUGAAAACUCCUGUUUUUUCCUUCCUAAAUGAUUCCUUUGCCCUGGCCUCUGUCACAGAUGAUGCUUUCCAAGAGGGAAUGUUUCCAUUCAAUUUGGGAAAUGAUAAAUCCUCACAAGAUCCUACUCAGCUGAGAUGGGGAGAAGGGAGGGAGAUGGAUCAGAUCUGGCCAGUUGUGUUGGCCAGUUUGGAAACCAGUCCUAAACCCCCUCUUGUGCUUGCCUAGUGGGGUUGGAACUAGAUGAGCUUUAAGGUUCCUUCUAACCCAAUCCAUUCCUCCAAAUGCUGUUCUCACUCCAAAAGGAAAAGGCUGCCCCAGGCUGGUCUGGAGAGCAGGAAUAAUCUGACCAGUGGGUAAUGCAUCUGCAAUGGGACAGCAGAGCCCCAGUGCUGGGUCCCGACAUCCAGCUCUUACCAGAUGUCAUUCCACCCCAUAAUCUUGUGGAGAAGUAAAGAUGCCCUUGGUUACCUGUGUGACAAAGUGCCCUGCUUUGGGUGAGGGCUCAGGGUUUUAUCCCUGCCUCUAGCACUGCUUUGGCCUCUUCAUCAGCCACUUGUUGGAGCAAGUCCAGAGGAGGCCACGAGGAUGAGCAGGGGCUGGAGCAGCUCCCAUGGGAGACAGGCUGAGAACAUUGGGGCUGUUCAGCCUGGAGAAGAGAAGCUGUGUGGAGACCUCAGAGCAGCUCCAGGGUCUGAAGGAGGCUACAAGGAUGCUGGAGAGGGACCUUCAUCAGGGACUGGAGUGAUGGGACAAGGGGUGAUGGGUUUGGGCUGAAAUAGAAGUUCAGGUUGGAGAUAAGGCAGUUGUUCUUCCCUGUGAGGGUGCUGAGGUGCUGGCACAGGGUGCCCAGAGAAGCUGUGGCUGCCCCAUCCCUGGCAGUGUUCAAGGCCAGGUUGGAACUGGCAGGGGUUGGAACUGGAUGAGCAUUACGGUCCCUUCAACCCACACCAGUCUGGGAUUCUAUGAUUCAAUUGUUAUAUGACCGUGUUGCUUAAGACAGACUUAAGAUCAUUUAAGAUCAGGAGCAGGGGGAUUUUCAUGCUUCAUGCUGACACCAG